rnacentral:rRNA from 1 species
CCCUUAGAUGUUCUGGGCUGCACGCGUGUUACAAUCGGGAGUACAACAAGAUUGCAAAUCCUAGUGGAUGAGUGGUUCUUCGAAAUUUUCUGAAGACUGGGAUAGUUGAUUGAAAUUAUUCAACUCAAACGAGGAAUUCCUUGUAAUUGUAAUUCAUUAUAUUGUAAUGAAUACGUCCCUGCCCUUUGUACACACCGCCCGUCGCUCCUACCGAUUGAACGAUCCGGUGAAUUAUUUGGAGUAGCUCUGGAAGUUGCAGAACUUCCUAUGUCACGAAAUUUUGUAAACCUUAUCGUUUAGAGGAAGGUGAAGUCGUAACA